GUCCACGCCGUAAACGAUGAGAACUAGCCGUUGGGGUCCUUGAGACCUUGGUGGCGCAGCUAACGCGAUAAGUUCUCCGCCUGGGGAGUACGGCCGCAAGGUUAAAACUCAAAUGAAUUGACGGGGGCCCGCACAAGCGGUGGAGCAUGUUGUUUAAUUCGAUGCAACGCGAAGAACCUUACCACCCCUUGACAUCCUCGGAACUUUCCAGAGAUGGAUCGGUGCCUUCGGGAACCGAGAGACAGGUGCUGCAUGGCUGUCGU
rnacentral:rRNA from 1 species